AUUGAACGCUAGCGGGAUGCCUUACACAUGCAAGUCGAACGGAGUGGCGAACGGGUGAGGAAUGUAUCGGAACGUGACCAGUAGCGGGGGAUAACUACGCGGAAGCGUAGCUAAUCCCGCAUACUAUUGGAGCGGCCGAUAUCGGAUUAGCUCGGGGGUGGGUUAACGGCCCAGCAAGGCGACGAUACGGAGCUGGUUUGAGAGGACGACCAGCCACACUGGGACUGAGACACGGCCCAGACUCCUACGUGAGGCAGCAGUGGGGAAUUGUGGACAAUGGGGGAAACCCUGAUCCAGCCAUCCCGCGUGUGCGAUGAAGGCCUUCGGGUUGUAAAGCACUUUUGGCAGGAAAGCGGUACCUGCAGAAUAAGCACCGGCUAACUACGUGCCAGCAGCCGCGGUAAUUC
rnacentral:rRNA from 1 species